UACGAAGGGGGCUAGCGUUGUUCGGAAUUACUGGGCGUAAAGGGCGCGUAGGCGGCGAUCCACGUUAGGCGUGAAAGCCCCGGGCUUAACCUGGGAAUUGCGCUUAAGACUGGACUGCUUGAGUGCGGGAGAGGUGAGUGGAAUUCCCAGUGUAGAGGUGAAAUUCGUAGAUAUUGGGAAGAACACCAGUGGCGAAGGCGGCUCACUGGCCCGCAACUGACGCUGAGGCGCGAAAGCUAGGGGAGCAAACGGG
rnacentral:rRNA from 1 species